UGAGUUACAAGGGCGACAGAACACCUGCUUUGAAUACAGAAGGACCUGGGAUCAAUCCCCAGCAUCUCAG